AUUGAACGCUGGCGGCAUGCCUUACACAUGCAAGUCGAACGGCAGCACGGGAGCAAUCCUGGUGGCGAGUGGCGAACGGGUGAGUAAUAUAUCGGAACGUGCCCAGUCGUGGGGGAUAACGUAGCGAAAGCUACGCUAAUACCGCAUACGAUCUACGGAUGAAAGCGGGGGAUCGCAAGACCUCGCGCGAUUGGAGCGGCCGAUAUCAGAUUAGCUAGUUGGUGGGGUAAAAGCUCACCAAGGCGACGAUCUGUAGCUGGUCUGAGAGGACGACCAGCCACACUGGAACUGAGACACGGUCCAGACUCCUACGGGAGGCAGCAGUGGGGAAUUUUGGACAAUGGGCGCAAGCCUGAUCCAGCAAUGCCGCGUGCAGGAUGAAGGCCUUCGGUUGUAACUAGCUUUGUACGGUACGAAACGGUGAGCUCUAAUAAAGACUUGCUAAUGACGGUACCGUAAGAAUAAGACACCGGCUAACUACGUG
rnacentral:rRNA from 1 species